UUCUAUUGUCGGUGGAGCCUCUUUUUUAGGUGGCUGUGAAUAAGUGGCUGUAUAAUGUCCACCAGGUAGCGCGAGUGUCUUCAGGGACGCUUAGCGGCCAUUUUGAUCCAAGACGCAGCAGAAGUUGGUUGUGACGUUUCUCACGAUGAAAAUUAAAAGGUAAUUUAGCACGUAGAAACCAAGUUGCCAAAUGAUUCAUCUGAGACUUGGAAUUGCCUGUACAUUUCCGAAAUGGCGUGCCUCGUGUGUCUCGCUGCCUGUUUUUUGGCUUACGUCUCACCCCAUUCAACAGGAAAAAGUAAAACAAACGCUGGUGGUUACCUUGUUGCAGCCAAAUGGUGAAAGGUGUGACAAAGGC